UGGGGAAUAUUGCACAAUGGAGGGAACUCUGAUGCAGCAACGCCGCGUGCGGGAUGACGGCCUUCGGGUUGUAAACCGCUUUCAGCCAUGACGAAGCUUUUGUGACGGUAGUGGUAGAAGAAGCACCGGCUAACUACGUGCCAGCAGCCGCGGUGAUACGUAGGGUGCGAGCGUUGUCCGGAAUUAUUGGGCGUAAAGAGCUUGUAGGCGGUUUGUCGCGUCGAAAGUGUAAACUCAGUGCUUAACGCUGAGCCUGCUUUCGAUACGGGCUGACUAGAGGAGGGUAGGGGAGAAUGGAAUUCCCGGUGGAGCGGUGGAAUGCGCAGAUAUCGGGAGGAACACCAGUGGCGAAGGCGGUUCUCUGGACCUUUCCUGACGCUGAGAAGCGAAAGCGUGGGUAGCAAACAGG
rnacentral:rRNA from 1 species